CGUUGGUGUUUCGAUGUAGUCGUUGCCUUUUCUUUCAACUGAUCAGUUCUUCGCUCCUAAUCGGCUGUUGUCUAAAGUCUGUUUCUUUGCGCCUAUGGAACCUAAAUAUUUUUAAAUCGGAAACACAUAUAGUUGGGUAGGACGAGCAAUCCAAGUCGUUGAUCGUGUGUGUGCUUGUAAAGCUAUCUCGUGCAUGCGUAAAAUUGUAUAGACUUUGGUGUGGAUUUAAGCUUUUAAGUGCGAUCACAAAUACGCGUUGUCAAUAAAUUAUCGUCAACAUUCAAAAGGCUCCCAGUUGGAGAAGAUUGAACGGAUGCCGAUAUAAUUUGUUCAAUGGUUGUCUUCUAUUUGUUUUUGGUAACAUAAAUAUUAAUCACACACACACACACUAACAGCUUGGUCAAGAGAACAUUGUUCAGCAUCCAUUAAAGUAUUAUUAUAUUGUAUUGAUGUUGAUAAAUUCAAGUUCCUUAAAUGAUUCCGGUAAAUUAUAAUUGGACAACAAAACACAUGAACUAUGAUAAAAAUUGUGUAUCUGUAUAAAUUACACAGGAAUACAAGUUUAAAUUAGUAAAAAUAAUAGGUACUACAAACAAUGAUACUAUAUCUAUCAUUAAUUGUUGAUACAUUAUACUUCAAAUGCGAAUAAGAUAUAAGGAAUAUUACAAAAAUAGUUGUCUUCAAAUAAGCUGUUAACUUUUUUGCUCUAUCGACA